rnacentral:rRNA from 1 species
GGGGAAUAUUGGACAAUGGGCGCAAGCCUGAUCCAGCCAUGCCGCGUGGGUGAAGAAGGCCUUCGGGUUGUAAGCCCUUUUGGUUGGGAAGAAAAGGAGCCCGCCAAAACCCCGGUUGUCCUGACGUACCCCAAAGAAUAAGCACGGGCUACUUCCGUGCCAGCAGCCGCGGUAAUACGAAGGGUGCAAGCGUUACUCGGAAUUACUGGGCGUAAAGCGUGCGUAGGUGGUGGUUUAAGUCCUUGUGCAAGCCCUGGGCUCAACCUGGGAACUGCAGUGGAUACUGGAUCACUAGAGUGUGGCAGAGGGUAGUGGAAUUCCCGGUGUAGCAGUGAAAUGCGUAGAGAUCGGGAGGAACAUCAGUGGCGAAGGCGACUGCCUGGGCCAACACUGACACUGAGGCACGAAAGCGUGGGGAGCAAACA